rnacentral:tRNA from 1 species
GGUGAGGUGUCCGAGUGGCUGAAGGAGCACGCCUGGAAAAGUGUGUAUACGGCAACGUAUCGGGGGNUUCGAANUCCCCCCNUCACCGCCA